GUUUUGUGUUUAACCUAAUUUUGAUGAUUAUCGUUUAUGGUUUGUUUAGGUUCACUAGGUAGUCCAGCCAGUUGUAUAUAUUAAGUCUCCCUUGCCCUUCGUGUGUUUAUGUCAGUGUGUCUUGUAUUGUCAAGGUCAUGCUGUCCGUUAUGUCAUCUCCCCUGUACUACGUCUCCCCGGGUCAUGUGUCAUGUCUAAUCUCCAUGUUUCCUGUUUUACUUUGAAAGCAAAAAGCAAAUAUGCUUCUUAACAUAUUCAUGCACAUACAAGUAUUUUUAAUAUACAUUUAUUUCACUAUAAACAUGUAAAAUAGUGAUCUUUAUCUUGCCUCCUAAUGGAGAUGUCCCUCAUGUAGUGCAGCUUGCAGAAAGGGGUCCCCCCCAAAUGAAAGGCAUACCACCUUCAACUCAUCAUUUUAUUGGAAAGAGAUGUGUCUGGUAGCAUUAUUUGAAAAAAAAAGUUUUUUUUUUGAAGGGCCAGUGUAAGGCAUGAAAAUGUGGUUUGUUACCUCAGGGCAACGCUAUGCUAAGCCCAGCUUUACAGCAACUUAAAUAUAUUUACAGCCGCACUUACAGGGUUUGGUUUCCAUAAGAAAGUUUAUUGGAACUACUCCAGUCUACAAAUCUUUGAAAGUCUGUGUAUUCAGAGGAACAGCCAUUUAAUAUAGAAACAGUUUAUCACUCUAAAAAAUAAAAAAAAAAAUAAGAAGAAUUAAGACUUCUAGGGUGGACUAUUGUAAUUCAAAAGUUGAUGUAAUGAGAUCACUGAUAGGGAUCGGAAACACAGAACAUAUUUCUCCCACAUUGGCUCCUUGUUAAAUCCAGAAUCAAAUUUCAAAUCCAUCUCCUUUUGACUAAAACCACCUUAUCUUAAACACCUCAUAGUACCGUAUCACCCCAAUACAGCACUUCACUCAGACUGCUGGCUGUGAAGUGCAGCCUCCCAUUCUACUUUUAAACAUCCUGGGAACGUUUAACGGUAGAAUGGGAGGCAGAGCCUUCAGCUUUCAGACACCUCUUCUGUGGAACCAGCUAGCCUCUCCUAGAUACGAUGCUGGACGAUUCCCACGAUGCACUGAGUGUUUCUUCUUCAUUCACCUCAUUUGAGUCUAUCUGGUCAUUAGAUGGCUGCCUCUCGCUGAGCCUGGCGCUGUUGAAUAAAUUCUUCUUGUUAAAAGGGAG
ensembl:lncRNA